rnacentral:lncRNA from 12 species
AUAACAACAGAUGGGACCCCUAAUUCAAAGGACAAUCUCGAGGCUAGAGACAACAAAACUGGACCAGAAUGUAAAAAGCAGGGCUGUUGCAGAUGUGGAGGAAAAUGUGUAUUUUCAGCAGGGGAAAAGAAAAGAAAAAAGAAAAAAAAAAAAAAAAAAGAAAAGAAAAGAACAGCUCUACCCGGCACCGGGGAGAACAGGUCUACCCGUCUCCCUGGGAGAACAGGUCUACCUCUGUCCGGGGCCAUCAGGUCUACCCGGCACCGGGGAGAACAGGUCUACCCGUCUCCCUGGGAGAACAGGUCUACCUCUGUCCGGGGCCAUCAGGUCUACCCGGCACCGGGGACAACAGGUCUACCCGGCACCGGGGAGAACAGGUCUACCCGUCUCCCUGGGAGAACAGGUCUACCUCUGUCCGGGGCCAUCAGGUCUACCCGGCACCGGGGAGAACAGGUCUACCCGUCUCCCUGGGAGAACAGGUCUACCUCUGUCCGGGGCCAUCAGGUCUACCCGGCACCGGGGACAACAGGUCUACCCGUCUCCCUGGGAGAACAGGUCUACCUCUGUCCGGGGCCAUCAGGUCUACCCGGCACCGGGGACAACAGGUCUACCCGUCUCCCUGGGAGAACAGGUCUACCUCUGUCCGGGGCCAUCAGGUCUACCCGGCACCGGGGACAACAGGUCUACCCGUCUCCCUGGGAGAACAGGUCUACCUCUGUCCGGGGCCAUCAGGUCUACCCGGCACCGGGGAUGUGGUGUGCAGACAGUAGGGAAGGGUACUCUGGAUUGCUAAAAACAUCUCAAGAUCUCACUGUAUUUGUCUCCCUCAAAACCCAUGCCACUGGUUUCACUGAGGAAACCCAAUUAACUAGGAAGGCAAAAGAGGAAUCUCUAGACUGGAAUUGUGUAUGAAAAUUUGCCACCAGCUCAGAGAAAGAAACUUUCCUUCUUAGCUGCCAGAAGGGCUUGUUGGGUAUUUUCUUCCAAUGCAUUCUGAAUGAAAAUGUUCUUGGGGUUUUUUU